rnacentral:rRNA from 1 species
CGCGCAGGCGGUCGCAUAAGUCAGUUGUGAAAUCCCAUGGCUCACCCAUGGAACUGCUUCUGAUACUGUGUGACUUGAGUCCGGGAGAGGAGAGCGGAAUUCCCAGUGUAGCGGUGGAAUGCGUAGAUAUUGGGAGGAACACCAGUGGCGAAGGCGGCUCUCUGGACCGGAACUGGCGCUGAGGCGCGAAAGCUAGGGGAGCAAACAGGAUUAGAUACCCUGGUAGUCC